GACGAACGCUGGCGGCGUGCCUAAUACAUGCAAGUCGGACGCAGUUGCGAACGGGUGAGUAACGCGUAGGUAACUGCCUAUUAGAGGGGGAUAACUAUUGGAAACGAUAGCUAAUACCGCAUACUAGUAGAUGGACCUGCGUUGUAUUAGGUAGUAGGGAGGGUAAUGGCCUACCUAGGCGACGAUACAUAGCCGAGCCUAGGGGGAGAACGGGCAAACUGGGAAUGAGACAAGGGCCCGGAUCCUGAGGGAAGCAGCAGUAGGGAAACUUCGGCAAUUGGGGGAACCCUGGACGAACAACGCCGCGUGAGUGAAGAAGGUUUUUCGGUCGUAAAGCUCAGUUGUUAAGGAAGCGGUACUUAACCAGAAAGGGACGGCUAACUACGUGCCAGCCGCCGCGGUAAUUC
rnacentral:rRNA from 1 species